CCCUGAUGUUAGCGGCGGACGGGUGACCUACACGUGGGUAACCUGCCUGUAAGACUGGGAUAACUCCGGGAAACCGGGGCUAAUACCGGAUGGUUGUUUGAACCGCAUGGUUCAAACAUAAAAGGUGGCUUCGGCUACCACUUACAGAUGGACCCGCGGCGCAUUAGCUAGUUGGUGAGGUAACGGCUCACCAAGGCAACGAUGCGUAGCCGACCUGAGAGGGUGAUCGGCCACACUGGGACUGAGACACGGCCCAGACUCCUACGGGAGGCAGCAGUAGGGAAUCUUCCGCAAUGGACGAAAGUCUGACGGAGCAACGCCGCGUGAGUGAUGAAGGUUUUCGGAUCGUAAAGCUCUGUUGUUAGGGAAGAACAAGUACCGUUCGAAUAGGGCGGUACCUUGACGGUACCUAACCAGAAAGCCACGGCUAACUACGUGCCAGCAGCCGCGGUAAUACGUAUGUGGCAAGCGUUGUCCGGAAUUAUUGGGCGUAAAGGGCUCGCAGGCGGUUUCUUAAGUCUGAUGUGAAAGCCCCCGGCUCAACCGGGGAGGGUCAUUGGAAAACUGGGGAACUUGAGUGCAGAAGAGGAGAGUGGAAUUCC
rnacentral:rRNA from 1 species